rnacentral:rRNA from 1 species
GACGGAGGCCUCAAGCGUUAGGCGGAAUCACUGGGCUUAAAGCGUGUGUAGGCGGAUCGUUAAGUGUCUUGUGAAAUCCCACGGCUCACCCGUGGAACUGCUGGGCAUACUGGCGAUCUUGGGCCAACUAGGGGCAACUGGAACAAGCGGUGGAGCGGUGAAAUGCGUAGAUAUCGCUUGGAACGCCAAAGGUGAAAGCAGGUUGCUGGGGUUGUGCCGACGCUGAGACACGAAAGCCAGGGGAGCAAACGGG